rnacentral:tRNA from 1 species
GGGCUGUGGCUCGAUAGUAGAGCAUCUGCUUGGCAUGCAGAAAGUCCCAGGUUCAAUGCCCGGGAUCUCCA